UCUCUUGAAUGGCUGCGGUGUCAAUAUUCCCAGUCAGCUAUGUCUUCUGUGCUGUGCAUGUUUGAUUUAAAUUUUACUUAUAUUGUUAUCGCUUUUAGUUUCUUCAUUGCACUUUCAUCUUUGUUGGCCAAUUCUUUCUUUUGAGUAUCUAUUUUCAUGAAAUGUGACAUCGGUUUAUUUCCAGCCGACCAGGAGGCAACACAACUACACACUGUGUGAACUGAACCUCAGAUACCACUGGCCUGUCACCAACAGAUUUUGAAGCAAAUGAUGUGAUUGUUCACCGAUUAUCAGUGCAUCUGUUAUUUACAUAGUGAUUUGUGAACUGACAAGUUAGCAGCAGUUUCUGCUUUAUGCAAUUGUUCUGUUAAUAGACUGUGAUUGUGGAAGGAGUCUUUGGACUAGGCAGAAAGUGAUCAAUUUCCUCUCAUAUUACCCUCAACCUGCGGCCUAUUUGUACUCCUGAUUGGAUAAAAGGGUUAAGAAGAACAAAAUGGUUGGAGAGAUUUUUGAAUUUUUAUGAUAAUUAUUUGGUGUCCCAGGAUCUACUGAAUGUCUCAAGAGAGGAACUUUUUUCCACUUCACAAAUUCUAAUUUUUGACUUGAUAAAGAAUGAUGAAUAUUUGUCACACAGAUAUUUAAAUGGAAUCAGGGCUGUAUAUAACCAUGACAUAAUACUUUGUCAAAAAGUGAAAAGUUAAUCUGGUUGGUCAUCAGUUUCAGAAGGGAGGAUUUUAAAUGGCUUAAAAAUAAUGUAGUCACAUGACUUAAAUUCAAAAGAAGGUAUUUUUACCUGGCAUAUGGAGAAGAUGAUGACAAUAAUGUGGAACUUGAUUAGACAUCAACAGAGACUCAAUGCCUCCUGGAAAACACCUGAGAAAUGAUUGAAGCUCGCUCUGGUCUUGCCUGGAAUCAUGCAUAACAUUUGUUGCUGCCUGCAUGUGGAUUCAUUUUAGCAGUUUAUCAAUUUGGACAGGGAAUUUUGAAUAAAAAAUUUUGGCAGUCAUUAUAGUGACUCUUCUGAGACUGAAAAUUCAGGUAACAAGGAAAAUCAGUGACUCUUUCUCUCUGCUUUCUUCAAAACACAAAUAAUCCAAUGAUGUAUAGGCUGCAUUGCCCUUUGAUUUGUUACCUUAGAGAUCAUUACAUGUUAGUACAUAAAGAAACUUCCCAAUCUUCUUUUAUAGCAUCCAGGUACUCCAAUGUGUAAUUCAGCCAUAACUUAAUAAAAUGGACUCUGUUUGAUAAA